AUUGAACGCUGGCGGCAGGCCUAACACAUGCAAGUCGAACGGAGCGGCGGACGGGUGAGUAAUACCUAGGAAUCUGCACGGUAGUGAGGGAUAACGUUCGGAAACGGACGCUAAUACCGCAUACUUUAAGAUGAGCCUAGGUCGUAUUUGCUAGUUGGGGACGUAAUGGAUCACCAAGGCUACGAUCCUUAACUGGUCUGAGAGGAUGAUCAGUCCAACUGCAACUGAGACACGGUCCAUACUCCUACGGGAGGCAGCAGUGGGGAAUCUUGGACAAUGGGCGUAAGCCUGAUCAAGCCAUGCAGCGUGUGUGAAGAAGGUUUUCGGAUGGUAAAGCACUUGAAGUUGGGAGGCGUUACCGACAGAGUAAGCACCGGCUAACUCUGUGCCAGCAGCCGCGGUAAUAC
rnacentral:rRNA from 1 species